GCAGUAGCCGCGGUAAUACGGAGGGUGCGAGCGUUAAUCGGAAUUACUGGGCGUAAAGCGUACGCAGGCGGUUUGUUAAGUCAGAUGUGAAAUCCCCGAGCUUAACUCGGGAACUGCAUUUGAAACUGGCAGGCUAGAGUCUCGUAGAGGGGGGUAGAAUUCCAGGUGUAGCGGUGAAAUGCGUAGAGAUCUGGAGGAAUACCGGUGGCGAAGGCGGCCCCCUGGACGAAGACUGACGCUCAGGUACGAAAGCGUGGGGAGCAAACAGGAUUAGAUACCCCUGUAGUCCCUGUCUCUUAUAA
rnacentral:rRNA from 1 species